AUUGAACGCUGGCGGCAGGCCUAACACAUGCAAGUCGAACGGCAGCGGGGGAUAGCUUGCUAUCCUGCCGGCGAGUGGCGGACGGGUGAGUAAUGCAUGGGGAGCUGCCUAGUCGAGGGGGAUAACAACUGGAAACGGUUGCUAAUACCGCAUACGCCCUGAGGGGGAAAGGUGGGGAACUUCGGUCCUACCGCGAUUGGAUGCGCCCAUGUGGGAUUAGCUAGUUGGUGAGGUAACGGCUCACCAAGGCGACGAUCUCUAGCUGGUCUGAGAGGAUGACCAGCCACACUGGAACUGAGACACGGUCCAGACUCCUACGGGAGGCAGCAGUGGGGAAUAUUGCACAAUGGGGGAAACCCUGAUGCAGCCAUGCCGCGUGUGUGAAGAAGGCCUUCGGGUUGUAAAGCACUUUCAGUCAGGAGGAAGGGGUGAUGGCUAAUAUCCAUCAUCAUUGACGUUACUGACAGAAGAAGCACCGGCUAACUCCGUGCCAGCCGCCGCAGUAA
rnacentral:rRNA from 1 species